rnacentral:rRNA from 1 species
UAGGGAAUCUUCCACAAUGGACGCAAGUCUGAUGGAGCAACGCCGCGUGAGUGAAGAAGGUUUUCGGAUCGUAAAGCUCUGUUGUUGGUGAAGAAGGAUAGAGGUAGUAACUGGCCUUUAUUUGACGGUAAUCAACCAGAAAGUCACGGCUAACUACGUGCCAGCAGCCGCGGUAAUACGUAGGUGGCAAGCGUUGUCCGGAUUUAUUGGGCGUAAAGCGAGCGCAGGCGGAAGAAUAAGUCUGAUGUGAAAGCCCUCGGCUUAACCGAGGAAAUGCAUCGGAAACUGUUUUUCUUGGGUGCAGAGGAGGAGAGUGGAAUUCCAUGUGUAGCGGUGGAAUGCGUAGAUAUAUGGAAGAACACCAGUGGCGAAGGCGACUCUCUGGUCUGCAACUGACGCUGAGGCUCGAAAGCAUGGGUAGCGAACAGG